UGAAUUAAUUCAUAGAGUAGGACUAGUAUGUUAUUAGAAGUAUCAAUAUUUUCAUACUUAUAAUUCGUUUUCAAUAACGAAACUUUCGAAUCCGCGAUCAGCUCCGUUAGAUUUGAUCUAACGUAUUUGAAGUGCCUAGAAAAGAAAUUUUACAAUUUUUGAUAUAAUUUACCCAUUGAUUAAUAACUUUUAAUGGUUAAUUUGUGCCUUUUAAACUCUCAUGGAAUAGAACUAGUGCGCUAUUAAGAGUACGGAGGCCUUCGUAAUCCUAAACCGUUUUCAAUAAUGAAACUUUGAAUUGACGACUGGUUCCGUUAGACUUGAUUUAGAAGUGCCUGCAAAAUAAAUUUUGUGAUUUUUUAAUAUAAUUUAUCUAUUGAUCAAAAUGGCUCAAAAUCAACAACUUUUAAUGGUUGAUAUUUACCAUUUACAUAUUUAACGGUGUAGAAGUAUUUAAAUCAAAUGAAUUUUAAUAGAAAAUAGCUAUUUUUUUUUAUACUUAUAUAUACCUGAGGUUUUUAUUCUUGAUUUGAACUUAUUCGGGCUUAAAAUAUGUAAUAAUAUUUCAGGCCCGGAUCGGCCCAAACCUGAUCGAAACGGUUUCCGUACAAACUAAUUGUUCCAACCCAGCCCGCGUAUAGUUUUUCGGCCCCAAUCCAAUCCCUUUAGAAGAAUUUGCCGGAUAGUUGGCGCUAACUAUUAAUUCCAAAAACUCGAAUUGUUAAAAAGAUACAACCAACUCACUAUAUGAAUCUUGAAUGUGAUUCAGCUCAGCAAACAUCAUGUCAUUUUGAGCAUGACUCGGUCCAACCCGACCUUCCGCUAUUUCCAACAUAUCCAACCCAACUUUCUGCUAUUUAGAAUGUGAUUUGGCCAACUGGCCUCUUACCCCCAUAUUC
rnacentral:lncRNA from 1 species